rnacentral:piRNA from 1 species
UCAAAGGAAGUCACUAGACCAUUGGAUGAUG